ACCUACCGACCUUUAGUUGCCAGCAGUUCGGCUGGGCACUCUAAAGGGACUGCCGGUGUUAAACCGGAGGAAGGUGGGGAUGACGUCAAGUCCUCAUGGCCUUUAUGACCAGGGCUACACACGUACUACAAUGGCCGAUACAAAGGGCAGCGACACUGCGAGGUGAAGCCAAUCCCGUAAAAUCGGUCUCAGUCCGGAUUGGAGUCUGCAACUCGACUCCAUGAAGUUGGAAUCGCUAGUAAUCGUGGAUCAGCAUGCCACGGUGAAUACGUUCCCGGGCCUU
rnacentral:rRNA from 1 species